rnacentral:rRNA from 1 species
GACAGAGGAUGCAAGCGUUAUCCGGAAUGAUUAGGCGUAAAGCGUCUGUAGGUGGCUUUUUAAGUCCGCCGUCAAAUCCCAGGGCUCACCUCGGACAGGCGGUGGAAACUACCAAGCUGGAGUACGGUAGGGGCAGAGGGAAUUUCCGGUGGAGCGGUGAAAUGCGUAGAGAUCGGAAAGAAUACCAACGGCGAAAGCACUCUGCUGGGCCGACACUGACACUGAGAGACGAAAGCUAGGGGAGCGAAUGGG